rnacentral:rRNA from 1 species
AUUGAACGCUGGCGGCAUGCUUUACACAUGCAAGUCGAGCGGCAGCACGGGGGCAACCCUGGUGGCGAGCGGCGAACGGGUGAGUAAUACAUCGGAACAUGCCCAGUCGUGGGGGAUAACACUUCGAAAGAAGUGCUAAUACCGCAUACGUCCUGAGGAGAAAGCGGGGGGUUGCAAAAACCUGGGCGGUUUGGAUGGCCGAUGUCAGAUUAGCUAGUUGGUUGGGUAAAGGCCUACCAAGGCAACGAUCUGUAGCUGGUCUGAGAGGAUGAUCAGCCACACUGGGACUGAGACACGGCCCAGACUCCUACGGGAGGCAGCAGUGGGGAAUUUUGGACAAUGGGGGCAACCCUGAUCCAGCCAUUCCGCGUGAGUGAAGAAGGCCUUCGGGUUGUAAAGCUCUUUCGGCAGGAACGAAACGGCGAGCUCUAACAUAGCUUGCUAAUGACGGUACCUGAAGAAGAAGCACCGGCUAACUACGUG